AUUGAACGCUGGCGGCAGGACUAACACAUGCAAGUCGAGCGAGCGGCGGACGGGGGAGUAAUGUCUGGGAAACUGCCUGAUGGAGGGGGAUAACUACUGGAAAAGGUAGCUAAUACCGCAUACCAUAAGAUGUGACCAGAUGGGAUUAGCUAGUAGGUGGGGUAACGGCUCACCUAGGCGACGAUCCCUAGCUGGUCUGAGAGGAUGAACAGCCACACUGGAACUGAGACACGGCCCAGACUCCUACGGGAGGCAGCAGUUGGGAAUAUUGCACAAUGGGCGCAAGCCUGAUGCAGCCAUGCCGCUUGUGUGAAGAAGGCCUUCGGGUUGUAAAGCACUUUCAGCGGGGAGGCGUUACCAACAGAAUAAGCACCGGCUAACUUCGUGCCAGCAGCCGCGGUAAUUC
rnacentral:rRNA from 1 species